rnacentral:rRNA from 1 species
CAGUAACGGCGAGUGAAGCGGCAACAGCUCAAAUUUGAAAUCUGGCUCCUUCGGGGCCCGAAUUGUAAUUUGUAGAGAGUGCUUCGGGCGAGACCUCGGUCUAAGUCCAUUGGAACAUGGUGUCAUAGAGGGUGAGAAUCCCGUAUGCGACCGUGGCUCGAGCCCAUGUGAAGCCUCUUCGACGAGUCGAGUUGUUUGGGAAUGCAGCUCAAAACGGGUGGUAAAUUUCAUCUAAAGCUAAAUACUGGCUGGAGACCGAUAGCGCACAAGUAGAGUGAUCGAAAGAUGAAAAGCACUUUGGAAAGAGAGUCAAACAGUACGUGAAAUUGUUGAAAGGGAAGCGCUUGCAACCAGACCUGCCCGUAGGCGAUCAGCCGCUGUUCUCAGCGGUGCACUCGCUCUGCGAUCAGGCCAGCAUCGGUUUCGGCGGUCGGAUAAAGGCCUUGGGAAUGUAGCUUCCCUUCGGGGAAGUCUUAUAGCCCUCGGUGCAAUGCGGCCAGCCGGGACCGAGGACCGCGCUUCGGCUAGGAUGCUGGCGUAAUGGUUGUAAGCGACCCGUCUUGAAACACGGACCAAGGAGUCUAACAUCUAUGCGAGUGUUUGGGUGUCAAACCCAUACGCGGAAUGAAAGUGAACGGAGGUGAGAACCCUUAAGGGCGCAUCAUCGACCGAUCCAGAUGUCUUCGGAUGGAUUUGAGUAUGAGCAUAGCUGUUGGGACCCGAAAGAUGGUGAACUAUGCCUGAAUAGGGUGAAGCCAGAGGAAACUCUGGUGGAGGCUCGCAGCGGUUCUGACGUGCAAAUCGAUCGUCAAAUUUGGGUAUAGGGGCGAAAGACUAAUC